rnacentral:rRNA from 1 species
AGGCAGCAGUAGGGAAUUUUGCGCAAUGGCCGCAAGGCUGACGCAGCAACGCCGCGUGGGUGAAGAAGGCCUUCGGGUCGUAAAGCCCUGUCAGGUGGGAAGAACGACACGGGGAGGAAUAUGCUCUGUGAGUGACGGUACCACCAGAGGAAGCACCGGCUAACUCCGUGCCAGCAGCCGCGGUAAUACGGAGGGUGCGAGCGUUAUUCGGAAUUACUGGGCGUAAAGCGCGUGUAGGCGGCCAACCAAGUCUGAUGUGAAAGCCCUGGGCUUAACCUGGGAAGUGCAUUGGAAACUGGCUGGCUUGAGUACUGGAGAGGAAGGGGGAAUUCCCGGUGUAGAGGUGAAAUUCGUAGAGAUCGGGAGGAAUACCAGUGGCGAAGGCGCCCUUCUGGACGGUUACUGACGCUGAGACGCGAAAGCGUGGGGAGCAAACAGGAUUAGAUACCCCGGUAG